AAUUUUGGCCAAUGGGGGAAACCCUGAUCCAGCCAUCCCGCGUGGAUGAGGAAGGCCUUCGGGUUGUAAAGUACUUUUGGCAGCGGAGAAAAGGUAUCUCCGAAUACUAGAUAAUUCUGCCUGUAUCUCAUGAAUAAGCACCGGCAACUUAGGUUCCAGCACCCGCGGCAAUACGUAGGGUGCAAGCUUUAAUCGGAAUUACUGGGCGUAAAGCGUGUGUAGGCGGUUCGGAAAGAAAGAUGUGAAAUCCCAGGGCUCAACCUUGGAACUGCAUUUUUAACUGCCGAGCUAGAGUAUGUCAGAGGGGGGUAGAAUUCCACGUGUAGCAGUGAAAUGCGUAGAUAUGUGGAGGAAUACCGAUGGCGACGGCAGCCCCCUGGGAUAAUACUGACGCUCAGACACGAAAGCGUGGAGAGCAAACAGG
rnacentral:rRNA from 1 species